UCUAGCUUCUUUUGAAAGUCACAGAAGUGCUAAACUUUCAGUUUUAAUAAUUUUAUUUUGGAAAAACGUCCAUAAGAGCACAAUAGAAAAGGGAAUCGAAAAAAUAAUUUAUAAAAACUUUCAUUUUUCUUACAGAGAGUAUUUACAUUACCAAACAUUGUGAUGACAAGCAUCUUGGGAUCUUGCAAGGCUGUGUUGUUAAUUGAGGAAAUUAAAGCACAGGAAGGUUAGAAGCCAACUUCAUCCAAGUUGGGCAGUUGAAGGGUGACAGGAACUGGGACUGGACUCCCCCAUCAUUCCACAGAUAUUUCUGCCCAUUGUGGUACGGAAGAACAUAGGGAUUUUCUUGCAGCGGGUCCAGUGCUUGUGUCAUGGAAGGAACAGGAAUUGAAUUCAGUCUUCAUAUUUAAACUGAAAUUGACAAUUUUCUCAAGCGAUUGGUGUCACGGUUUGGACAAGAUACUUAAGUGGAAAGGAGUGGCCAAUUCAGUCAGGAGCUGCCAUAUGGUGACAUUCUCCUCUGAGCCUGUUCCCGACUCCUGGCUGGGUCUAUUCCUGGAUUUACUGAGAAACCUCUGAGAAUAACAGCUGGGUGUAAAAUGAUAGCCCGAGGGUGCUGUCCAACAUACACUUCAGAUUUUGGAUUAUUUAUAUAUUUAGGCAGAGAGUGAUAAAGUGAAACUCGCUCUCCUUAUGGCUCCUGAUUAUAGAAAGCAGGUUUCUGUACAAAUGCUCUAUGAUUGAGGGAUUGCAACAGCGCCUCAGUGGAAAGUGAACUGCAUAUGGGCACAUCUAUAGAAUGAACCAACUGAAACACAAAGCAUGCACUGAAGGCAAGGCUUGUCUUUGGUACUGUUAGCUAUUAUAAAUACUGAGGCUGCUGGAAAGCCCUAAAGUCUUUGAUGGUAGAUCGACAUUUUUGACUUAUCCAAGGUGAACUCCUGAAGAAGGUGGAAGUGAGCUCUCUGGUCUCUCUCAUUGUGCAGUUAUGUGUUGGCUCCAUGGCCAUUUCUGCAUGUGCAUAGAGUUGCAAAGUACAAAUGAAGCCACUCUAUGUCGGAAACCACUUAUUUCAAGACUUUCUUACAGCUGCUUGUGUCAUUUCCAUAACAUAUAUUCUCCAGAACUAUGUCCAAAGGCAGUUUAGAUCUCUAUUAGCACAGAUUUUUCCCUCUCAGUCUGUGUUAUAUCUACAUUUCAUGAGAAAUUAUUUGGACACGGGUUCACUUCCAUUACAACUCAGGGUAUGGUGUUUGAUCCCACCCAAAUGUAUUUCCACAGCAUGUACAGACCCAGUGCCAGAGGUACAUCUGAACCAACAGUCCCAAAUGUUUGUCUUUAGUCUGGGAAAGGGUUGACUGAGUGAGAGGAGUUGCCUGCAACUUAAUCUGCAAAAGGCUUCAAGUAAACCAACUUACUCUGCUUAUAGUUUUGGAAAACUAUAAAGAACUUUAAAAUUUAAGCUAGUCUUUUCUUAAUUGGAUGGGUAGUAUGGAAUGUAAAUUAUAUUCUUUCAUGAUAAGGAAGAGAAAACAGAGUAGUUUAGACUAAAUGAUAGGUUACCACGAACAACUUGGUGCUUGAUGGUUGAACUGCAUGCACCUUCUCUGUGAGGAUGCAAACUUCUGUGGGUUACUUGGGUAGGACAAGGCAGUGCUAGUGGGGCUGCAUGCACAAUACAUGUUCAGCUGGAACAGGUGGCAUGACUUGAUAUGCUUUGUUUUAAUUACAUGCUACUCCCUAUCAGUACAGGGCCUUUUCACACUUGUAAAUGUUCUCAAGUCUGAAGUUGUAGGCAUCACCCUUAAAUGAUCCACAUUUUGAGAGGCAAUUGUUCCCAUAAAAGAAUGAGUUAUAUUUCAUACCUGUAGGAAAAAAUGGCCCUAUGGAGAGUAGAAUAUUUUCCUAGAUGGACUAUUUGUAUGCAGAAAAAAUAUUACCCUAAGAUUAAUUCAUCCAAGGAUUACCAGAUACAAUUUCCAAUUGACUUUAGAAGUAAGAUGGAUUUUCCAAGCUGACAGAGGCCACAGGAUGUUUUUACCAGAGUAGUUAUUACUAACAGAUAGAUGUUCAAG